GAUGAAGAACGCAGCGAAAUGCGAUAAGUAGUGUGAAUUGCAGAAUUCAGUGAGUCAUCGAAUCUUUGAACGCACAUUGCGCCCUUUGGUAUUCCUUAGGGCAUGCCUGUUCGAGCGUCAUUUAAACCUUCAAGCUCAGCUUGGUGUUGGGUGACUGUCCGCUUCACCGCGGACUCGCCUCAAAAUUAUUGGCGGCCGGUACAUUGGCUUCGAGCGCAGCAGAAACGCGAACUCGGGCCCGUCGUAUUGGCUCCCAGAAGCUAUCUUCACAAUUUUGACCUCGGAUCAGGUAGGGAUACCCGCUGAACUUAAGCAUAUCAAUAAGCGGAGGA
rnacentral:misc_RNA from 1 species